UGCAUUCAUUGGUGACCUUCGGGUUGUUUCUGUUUCCCAGCUGCUGUGAACACAUCGGGCACAGGAUUUUUUUUAAAGAUGGACACGUAUCUUCCGCUCUGGCCACGGUGUUGCCACACUGGGCUGUGCAGCCUUGAGCUUCCGUGUAGCCUCUCUGUUUCAGUGACCCCUCUAGAAGUGGGGGGACUGGGUCAGAGACUUUCUGGGGUCUUUUCCGACCCCAUGUGCUGCUCGUGUGAAACCCAUGGCUUUGCUCGGGGACUGGCCACAGAGUUCAGCCAUCCGAUGCUCAGGUGCCCGCGAGCCGAUCACACGGAUGUGUGCAUUCCUCGAGAAUAAAACUCAGGGUGAACUCAGAUUGACCUGAAACACAAACCGAGAACGAGUCCCUGAAGCUUUACCGGAUGUACACCUUGCAAGAAACAGCCCGUGUCCCUGAUUCCCAGCGGGAGGACCUCUCGAGGUUCCAAUGUAGCCCGUCUCAGACUGCCCCCCGAGGACACCUGCAGAGAGGCGGAGCCCCCCAGGUGAGACACAGGUGGGGUCAGGCCUCCGCGGCCUCAGGGAGCCGGGAGACGCUUUCUUCCUCCAACACUGUGGAAGUGUUCACAGCUCUUGUGGGCAGAAGGACUCGGCGCUCUCUGUCCAAGCCCCAAGUAAGGUGGAGCCCCAGGCACCUCAUGCGGCUGGAGCUAGAAUGGCUGUGGGCGUCGAGGUUGGGCCAGGGGCCCCCACCCGAACCGGCUCCUCCUUGGGGAACCCCUUUGGCCCUUGGUCCCAGGGACCCCGGGGUGGGCUUGCUCAGCAGUCACGGGCAGCACCCUGUAGUGCUUGCUCGGGGCGCAUUGCCUCGGGGGGAGCAGGGGGCCUGGCACCGGAUGGGUGCAGGAGGCCAGUGAGGCAAGGCCGUCCUCUCUGUACCUCAGUGGUGGGUCUUGGGACCAGGGGUCAUCAUAGGUACCCCCCAAGGCCAGCGGGGCCUCACCCUCGGGACGCAGGCAGGCCCAGGGACACUGUACCACUUUCUCCUCAGUGUCCACCCUGGUCCUUGCAGAGUGGAUGUGGGGCCGGCAGGGAGAAGAGGGCGAGGGCCGGGGGCGAGGCAAGGUGGGGUGGGUGACACCUAUAGGCCUGGCUGGGCUUCCUGUGCGUCGCGUGUCACUGCUGCCGUGCCUGGCCCCCGGCUGGUGGCCAGCUUCCGAGGCGUCUGCGUUCUGGGAGCGAGAAGGAGCGGGCACAGGCCCUGCCCUGAGGUGUCCGAGUUCAAGACCCACCUUGCUGCCUCCCUCCCAGGCCCGUGAGGAAGCUGUUCCCUCCGGUGGGGCCCCAGGGGCUGCCCAUGGUGAAGGGGAGACGCCCUCACGCAUAGGGAGCUGCGCAGCGCACCCAGAUCCAACGAUGGGAGCUGGCGACUCGCGGAGAAAGGAUCGGAAGCUCUCUGUGGCCGUGGCCAUAGGAGCGCUGU
rnacentral:lncRNA from 12 species